rnacentral:rRNA from 1 species
GACGAACGCUGGCGGCGUGCUUAACACAUGCAAGUCGAGCGGAAAGGCCCUUUCGGGGGUACUCGAGCGGCGAACGGGUGAGUAACACGUGAGUAAUCUGCCCUUGGCUUUGGGAUAACUACCGGAAACGGUGGCUAAUACCGGAUAUGACCAUGCUCGGCAUCGGGUGUGGUGGAAAGUUUUUUCGGCCAGGGAUGUGCUCGCGGCCUAUCAGCUUGUUGGUGGGGUAAUGGCCUACCAAGGCUUCGACGGGUAGCCGGCCUGAGAGGGUGACCGGCCACACUGGGACUGAGACACGGCCCAGACUCCUACGGGAGGCAGCAGUGGGGAAUAUUGGACAAUGGGCGGAAGCCUGAUCCAGCAACGCCGCGUGAGGGAUGACGGCCUCGGUGUAACCGUCUUCUAGUACCGACGAAGACGCCGAUGAUGGUGGUGACGGUAGGUACGAGAAGAAG